GACAGAGGUGCCAAGCGUUAGGCGGAAUCACUGGGCUUAAAGCGUGUGUAGGCGGAAUGGUAAGUACCUUGUGAAAUCCCACGGCUCAACCGUGGAACUGCUGGGUAUACUGCUUUUCUUGAGCCACUUAGGGGCUGUCGGAACAAACGGUGGAGCGGUGAAAUGCGUAGAUAUCAUUUGGAACGCCAAUGGUGAAAACAGGUAGCUGGGAGUGUGCUGACGCUGAGACACGAAAGCCAGGGGAGCAAACGGG
rnacentral:rRNA from 1 species